rnacentral:lncRNA from 1 species
AGUGGGGUCAGAGGUGAGCGAGACGCUUCUCUCACCGAAUGGCGUUUUAGAAAUAGGGACGGGGAGAAGGCAGGAGGGCCGGCAGGCGGCCCCGGGGCGCCGACCCGACCAGGACCCGGGGCGGGGGCGGGGGCGGGGGCCGGGAGUGCAGGGGGGCCCGGGGCGGCUGCAUCCCGCGACCCCGCCGAGGCCCGAGGCCGCCAUAUUCCCGCUGCACCACGCCCGGGCGGCCGGCGGGCAGCGGCAGGUUGGGGCGGCCCGGGUCGGCCCUGGCGGGGGGCGGCCGCGACCGCCGCGCCCGCUGCCGCCUCCAGAGCCCGAGGGGCCGCCCCGCCGGGGAGCGGCAGGCGAGGCGAGAGCCGCCCGGGAGGCGCGCCGCGGCGGCUGGAGCCCAGGAAAGCCGCGCAGGAGGGGCCGGGCGGCCCCGCCUCCCCUCCCCCUCCCCCCUCCCCCCGCCUCCCCUCCCCCUCCCCCCUCCUCCCGCCUCCCCCUCCCCCCCGCCGCCGCCGCCGCCGCCUCCCUCCCGGAUCUGUGCUCCAGUUCAGAGAAAGAAGAAAAUGUGUGUGUGUGGCGAGGGGGAGGGCGAGCGCUGAGCAGCCGGGCCGGGGGUGGGCGUCCGGCGGAGGCGGGGCGGAGCGGAGCGGGGGCGGGGGCGGGGGCGGCGGCGGCGGAGCGCGGCGGGCGGUGGGCGCGGGCAGGGCCCAGGGCGCCCGGGAGCCGUGUCAGGCGGCGGCGGCGGCGGGGAGCGGGGAGCGGGGAGCCGGGAGCCGGGAGCGGGCGCGCCGGGCGCGGGGAGCCGUCGGCGGCCGCUCGCUGCGGGGACGCCCGGUGGAUGUGCUCUCGCCGCCGGGCGCAGGGCUUCGGGGAGCCUCGGCGGCGGCGGCGGCGCGGGGGGCGAGGCGGGCCGCCCGUUCCCGGGGAAGGAGGCGCGGGCGUCUGAGCGAGGCCGGGCGCGGCGGCCUUCCCUCGCGCGCCCCCCGAGCCAGCGCCCGCGGCCGCCUCCCGCGCCCGCCUCGCUCCUCGCGCGCCGGAGCCGCCCGCUCCCGCCGCACCCCCGGCCCACCUGGUGCCCCGGCCCUGGCCUCGGCCCCCGCGGCGCUCCCCGAGCUCGUCCCGGACGCGCGCCCGGGCGGCGGGGGCUCGGCGGCCACCGCUGCCUCGGGGGAGCGAGGGCGGGAGGGCGUGUGUGCGCGCGUGUGA